GCAAUUUUCUGAUCCACUCUUUUCUUGAAUGGCAGAGAAUGCUCACCUUAGGCCAUGUACGGUGGGUAGCUUGACGUUGUUGAGGCUCUUGAAUAUUGUUGAUCGAGUCAAUGGAUGUUUCCUGAUUGCUCUUAUGGUGAGGAUCAGGUACUUCUCUUCGACGAUGAUGUCGCCAACACAGCAGAUGUAGCUUGCGGAUCCCACGGCAUGACUCAGAUGCUGACGAUGAACCGGACUACCCGUUGUAAUCUGAACACCUAAAGAAGGAUGAUGUUCACGUCAGGGCAGGACUUGAGGGAGGGCGUGGUUGUUGGAGGACGCCGCCGCCGCCAUCGCGGAACUCUAGGGUCAGGGGGUGGUCUGCGGUCAGCAAGGACCGGCAAGGCCGUGUCAAUCGUUCCCUACAUCACGGAUCAUCACAGAUAUUUACAUUCUGUUCGUUUUCUGAAUUUUUCUGUUCAUUUCUGUAUUUCCUGAUCGUUUGUAUGCUUCACCUGUCAUGAACAUCGUUUCUUGCAGCGAGGAGCGGCGCAAGGCCGUGCCCUAUAUCAUCGAGCAUCACAGCGAGGAGCGGCGCAAGGCCGUGCCCUACAUCACCGAACAUCACAGGUACAUAGGUAUACAGAUACAAUGUGAGGGCGCUGGACGCACACUCAUUGAGAGGGACCUCUGCCAGGUACGCAAUGUUGUGUAAUGAAAGACCGUCUUGCUCGAUUGAUCCAUUGAGUUCGUAUGUUUAUUAAAAAAAUUGUACAUUGCGCGUGAUCGGGUGUUAAUUUUAUCUACACCUGUAAAAUGUGUGUUGUAUUA